ensembl:lncRNA
CCUGGCCCGGCUGGCUGGCUCUCUGCUCCACCCCGAGGGCACCACGCAGUCACGGGAAGGCGCACUGAAGCAGCGAGGGCCCCCUCGGUUAGCACUGGAAAAUCGGUUCCUAGAAUUUGACCAGUGAAUCAUAGUGAAGAAAUGCAAACUCGAGUGCAUUUCUUGUUUUUCCUCCUUCCCCUUGAGAGAUGGCGGCCCUCGCUGGGCCGCACCCCACCCCACGCAGACGCGGAAGGAGAUAGCACCCUCCAGCCUCAUCAGGAAUGGGUAAACCUGACCCCAGCCCAGCUUGUCCAGUUGCCUGUCAGGCAACAUAAGCUCUGGGAUGCCCCCAGGACAACCAAGCUGAUCCAGUCAAGGAAGCACAUUCUAGGAGACGAAACAGCAUGUGCAAAGGCCCUGGGGAAGAAAAGGGGACCUGAAGUGAGGGAAACUUUGCAGGGCAAGAUCUGCGGAGCCAUGGGGGCACAAAUGCCCAUGUUUCCACAGGGGAGUCAGACCCUAAACCCCACCAUUCCCCAUCAGGUGCCAGCUAACUCAGGCCCCAUGCCUUCUCACAGAUGAGAAAACUGAGCUGCAAAGAGCUAGAGUGGCUGGUCCUGGUUUAGAGAGAACAUAUGCCCAAAACGUUAACUCGGGAGGAAACAGGAGCACCGGAACACGAGUCCGAGAGCCUGGCUCCAGGCCAGCCCUGCCCUGCGAGGAGACCCACAGCCUCGUGGGGCCAUCUGGCUCCUGCCCCAACGGUCUGCAGGUCAGCCAGGGUGAUUCUGUUUCAUUCUGUGGGUCGGCUUGAUCGAGCUCCAGGCCACAGGGUGGAUUUGGCUCAGCUCCAUGACUGUCUUCUAGCACCAUCAGCUGCCUGGGACAUGCUGGCCUUGCAGCACAUGGCAGAAGCUUAAGCAGCCAGGCCAAAAAACAACCACGUUGCAAGCCAGUGCUUUGUCACCUCCACUAAUUGACCAACAAAUUGACCAAAGCAAGUGGAUGGCCAAGCCCUUGCUUCAGUGGGCUGGGGAAAUCCUCUGCACCCUCCAGGGGAUGGCACUGCAGAGUCCCCUGGCAACGAGCACAGGCGUGUGACCCCGUUACAGGAGGGAACGAGAACUUGAGAAUAAUAUCCAACUUGCCCCAAGAGGUUUCAGCGAUGAGAACUCCAGCCUCACGUGGGGACACACGUGACCCAAGGUUACACAGCUGGUUACGGUGAUUGCAAUUGGGAUUCUGACCCGGGCUGUCUGACGCCAAAGCCGCUCUGUCCCCACAGAUGGUCACAAGGACCUGCUACAGAAGAGGUGCUCAGUAAAUUACUAAUGCAUUAUUAAAGUGUACGCCUCAAAGACAUUGCAGUCGAUGAAACCAUUGCAUUAUUCUUAAAAAGAAACUUUAAAGAAAAGGGAAAAAAUGAUCAGACAAUAAACGCAAUGUUAGCACCCGGUGCAGGACUGGAUUCUGAAGAUCAUCAGGAGAGGGCUGGGGCCCAGCGUGCUCAGCAAGAACCAGGAGGCUCCGGUGACCGAACGAGGGGCUGGCCCUGGAAAGGGGAGGCUGCCCCGGGGGGAGACGCCAAAGGAGGCCUGGUUCUUCUCAAGAACCAAAGGCUGAGAGAGAGCCUGCCGGCCUGGAGACAGAGCAGCCGUAGGGAAGGAGAGAGGUGGGUCCGCCCCUCGCAUGGCGGCAGGGAGGGUGAGGCACCGCGCAGACCAGGAGUGGAGCGAGGGCGGCUGUGGGACUCAGGGAAGAGGGCCAAGGCUGCGGUCGGUUCCAACAUGCCGCCCGCCCUCCAUCUCUUGGGGUGCGGAAGUGGUCAGGGGUGAAACGGGGAGGAUGUGCCCCUGCUCAGUGGGACCUUCAAUCCUUUGCUUUGUGACCCAGCAUGUGAGUCACACGAUGCCUUGGAGUUUCAGCAAAAACAAAGGGAAGAUGUUCAGUGAGAGGAAAGGAUGGAGCAUCCGCCCCGCCUGUGGAUGAGCACAGAGGAGGGACGUGCAGCUGACAGAUGAAGUGACAGCGCCGGGCCGUCUCCACUUGGCCGCACCCCCGCCCCGAAUCAACGGCCCAGGCAGUCACGGGCACCCACCUGCUGACCUCCAAAAAGCAGGAACAGAGGGCCUCGCGCCUGGUGGGGAAACGCCACACCUGUGCCGUCGUCUUGCCAGACACCGCACACCUGAAUCUGGACUGGCCUCUAGGCCCGGUGCCGACCUACAGGAAGUACACGGAGCAGAGAAACAGGUUCAAAACCACCACGGGGGCGCAGUCAGCCAAAGCCAGGCCAAAGGAGACCCUCCAGGACAACACAUCGCGAGGACAGCACGAGGCUGGGGGGCCUUUAGAGAGGAGAUUUCCAAUACUGUGUAGACGCCGCUGGCUCAAAUAAAAAUAAUUACCCAUGAGUGCAGGUUGUAUAUAUUUUACAUGCUAUGCAGUUAUAUGUUGACUACGUAAAUAGAAUUAUAGAUUAAAUAUCUAGUAUUUGAAUACACUAAAUAUUAUAUUAAAUAGAGAUGUGUUUAAAUAUUAAAUAUAAAUUGAGACCAUUGGAAAUUUGAUGACGUCACGUAGGUGUUUUACAUGUAUAAUUAUGUAUGGAACGGAUUUACACUUAUGAGAAACGCGAUGGCAUUGAUUUGGGUUUCUUAGGUAUUGUAGCUACGUAUUAAGUUUUGCAAGGCCCUCACUUUUCAGAGCUGCAUACUGAAGUAUUUCCAGAUGAAACAAUAUGAUGUCUGGGAUUUGCUUCAAAGUAAACAGGGAGAGGAAGGAGCGGGGACAGACGUGAAAUGGACUGAGCGUGAGCGAGCGUCGGGACAGCGGGGUGAGGGGCACACGGGCUGACAGACUAUUCUCUCUUUUUGUAAAUGUCUGAAAAUUUCCAUCAUGAGAAGAUAAAGCUAAGUAACUCCAAUAAUAAAUAAUUU